GAUAAACGCUAGCGGUGUGCAUUAUGCAUGCAAGUCGAGCGGUUAGUCGAAAGAUUAACAGCGGCAAACGGCUGAAUAACACGUAAGCAACCUGUCCUUAAGUGGGGAAUAAUCCGCCGAAAGGUGGACUAAUACCGCAUGUGGUAGUGGAGUCAGAUCUCUAUUACUAAAGCAUUCGUGCGCUUGAGGAGGGGCUUGCGUCCUAUCAGGUAGUUGGUGAGGUAACGGCCCACCAAGCCUACGACGGGUAGCUGGUCUGAGAGGACGUACAGCCAGACGGGGACUGAGACACGGCCCCGACUCCUACGGGUGGCAG
rnacentral:rRNA from 1 species